AUUUGUGACAGCUAUUUUGGGGGAGCUUUAUCAAUCACAAACUCUUAGUGAACAUCCCUAUCUACUAAUUGUGUGCUGGAUUAU
rnacentral:lncRNA from 12 species